rnacentral:tRNA from 1 species
GACUUGUACAAAUCAUUGUAAAAAGAAAAUCCGUUGGCUUUAUAGACCAUGAGGGUUCAAGUCCCUCUACCCCCA